rnacentral:rRNA from 2 species
AAAUUGAAGAGUUUGAUCAUGGCUCAGAUUGAACGCUGGCGGCAGGCCUAACACAUGCAAGUCGAGCGGUAGCACAGAGAGCUUGCUCUCGGGUGACGAGCGGCGGACGGGUGAGUAAUGUCUGGGAAACUGCCUGAUGGAGGGGGAUAACUACUGGAAACGGUAGCUAAUACCGCAUAACGUCGCAAGACCAAAGUGGGGGACCUUCGGGCCUCAUGCCAUCAGAUGUGCCCAGAUGGGAUUAGCUAGUAGGUGGGGUAACGGCUCACCUAGGCGACGAUCCCUAGCUGGUCUGAGAGGAUGACCAGCCACACUGGAACUGAGACACGGUCCAGACUCCUACGGGAGGCAGCAGUGGGGAAUAUUGCACAAUGGGCGCAAGCCUGAUGCAGCCAUGCCGCGUGUAUGAAGAAGGCCUUCGGGUUGUAAAGUACUUUCAGCGGGGAGGAAGGCGAUAAGGUUAAUAACCUUGUCGAUUGACGUUACCCGCAGAAGAAGCACCGGCUAACUCCGUGCCAGCAGCCGCGGUAAUACGGAGGGUGCAAGCGUUAAUCGGAAUUACUGGGCGUAAAGCGCACGCAGGCGGUCUGUCAAGUCGGAUGUGAAAUCCCCGGGCUCAACCUGGGAACUGCAUUCGAAACUGGCAGGCUAGAGUCUUGUAGAGGGGGGUAGAAUUCCAGGUGUAGCGGUGAAAUGCGUAGAGAUCUGGAGGAAUACCGGUGGCGAAGGCGGCCCCCUGGACAAAGACUGACGCUCAGGUGCGAAAGCGUGGGGAGCAAACAGGAUUAGAUACCCUGGUAGUCCACGCCGUAAACGAUGUCGAUUUGGAGGUUGUGCCCUUGAGGCGUGGCUUCCGGAGCUAACGCGUUAAAUCGACCGCCUGGGGAGUACGGCCGCAAGGUUAAAACUCAAAUGAAUUGACGGGGGCCCGCACAAGCGGUGGAGCAUGUGGUUUAAUUCGAUGCAACGCGAAGAACCUUACCUGGUCUUGACAUCCACAGAACUUGCCAGAGAUGGCUUGGUGCCUUCGGGAACUGUGAGACAGGUGCUGCAUGGCUGUCGUCAGCUCGUGUUGUGAAAUGUUGGGUUAAGUCCCGCAACGAGCGCAACCCUUAUCCUUUGUUGCCAGCGGU